rnacentral:rRNA from 1 species
UGCCAUACCAUGCUGAAUAUACCGGUUCUCGUUAGAUCACCGAAGUCAAGCAUCAUUGGGCGCGGUCAGUACUUGGGUGGGGGACCACCUGGGAACACCGCGUGCCGUU